rnacentral:rRNA from 1 species
UACGAAGGGUGCAAGCGUUAAUCGGAAUUACUGGGCGUAAAGGGUGCGCAGGCGGUUCUGCAAGUCAGGCGUGAAAGCCCCGGGCUUAACCUGGGAAUGGCGCUUGAAACUACAGGACUGGAGUAUGGCAGAGGGAGGUGGAAUUCCACGUGUAGCGGUGAAAUGCGUAGAGAUGUGGAGGAACACCGAUGGCGAAGGCAGCCUCCUGGGCCAAUACUGACGCUCAUGCACGAAAGCGUGGGGAGCAAACAGG